rnacentral:rRNA from 1 species
UACGUAGGGGGCAAGCGUUGUCCGGAUUCAUUGGGCGUAAAGAGCGUGUAGGCGGCCAGGUAGGUCGGUUGUGAAAACUGGAGGCUCAACCUUCAGAGGUCGACCGAAACCAUCUGGCUAGAGUCCGGGAGAGGAGAGUGGAAUUCCUGGUGGUAGCGGUGAAAUGCGCAGAUAUCAGGGAGAACACCAGUAGCGAAGGCGGCACUCUGGGCCGUAACUGACGCUGAGGAGCGAAAGCGUGGGGAGCGAACAGG